rnacentral:rRNA from 1 species
GCAGCCGCCACGGUAAUACAGAGGGUGCGAGCGUUAAUCGGAUUUACUGGGCGUAAAGCGUGCGUAGGCGGCUUCUUAAGUCGGAUGUGAAAUCCCUGAGCUUAACUUAGGAAUUGCAUUCGAUACUGGGAAGCUAGAGUAUGGGAGAGGAUGGUAGAAUUCCAGGUGUAGCGGUGAAAUGCGUAGAGAUCUGGAGGAAUACCGAUGGCGAAGGCAGCCAUCUGGCCUAAUACUGACGCUGAGGUACGAAAGCAUGGGGAGCAAACAGGAUUAGAUACCCCGGUAGUCCCUGUCUCUUAUA